GGAGGAGGAGGAGCAGGGCGGAGGCAGAAGCGGGAGAGCCUCCGCCGAAGCCCCGCCCCGCGCUGGGCUCCCAGGGAGGACCCGAACUGGGCCGCGAACCAGCCUCGGCGGGGCAGGGGGUCGUGGGACCGCCCCGAGUGGGCGAUCGGGCCGCCGCACAGGCCCCCGCGCAGGAAGGAGACCCUGCCCCGCAGGGGGGAGGCCUUGGCGGCGCUGCCCGUCCUCUCACACAGCCGAAGUGACGGGGCGGGUCGUCAGGAUGGGCAAGCGGGGUAGCUUCUGUUUUCAUUUUCACUUUCCCGAUGAUCGUGCUGCAGCCUUGGAACCGAGAACGUGAGGGGGCCGGCCCUGGGUCACGGCCUCCGCCUCCAGGCCGGCCUCCCAGCCGUGAGGGCCCAGGAGCACUGGUGCGGGGUGAGAGGGUCCGCAGGGUGGACCAUACAAAGCAGUACUCCGAGGUUUCCACCUCUGAAACAGUCUGGGAGAAAAUGCAAAUGUACUGGGGUCACCAAAACCCGACCUUUAGAAAUACAGACCAGAUGUGGUGGCGAGGCUAGUUUGAAAGCAGCUGGACAGGGAGCACCUCAAGGAAAGCAAAGACGAGGUUCUCCCUCCCUCCCAAGUUGUUAAAAAACGUGAUAUGGGUCCACUCUUCUUGUAAAUGAUACGUGCUUUCAGAGAAUUGGUUUUGGAAUCUAGUUUUGGAACAGCUUUUUUUUUUUUUUUUUUAAAGAUUUUAUUUAUUUAUUCAUGAGAGACACACAGAGAGAGAGAGAGAGAGAGAGAGAGAGGCAGAGACACAGGCAGAGGGAGAAGCAGGCUCCAUGCAGGAAGCCCGAGGUGGUACUUGAUCCCAGGUCUCAAGGAUCAUGCAUGCCCUGGGCUGAAGGCGGCGGCACUAAACCGCUGAGCCACCUGGACUCCCUGGAACAGCUUCUUAACUGAAUUCCUCCAUGUUUAGUUCAAUUUAAGGCUUGAUCGUGUCAUCUACCCCAAUGCUAGACCAGAGUUAAAGGACCAAAAGAGACUAAUAAACCUUUUGGUGGGGGGGGAAGUAUAUCAUUGCCUGUGCAAAGCAUACUUCAACUCAAAAACUAUAAUAAAAGCAAAAUU